CCCUAGAUCUUUAAAAGCCACUAUUUUACAGAGGUUUUUAUUGCUGCAACACGGUAGUUUGUUUGGUGUGUUUUGCUGUUCUUGCCUCCUGAUGCAUUAAUUCAGUGUGUUUUCCAGCAGAUCAUUGAGAGAUCUCAGGUCUAGAAGACGACAGCUCAAGUGUACUGCUUGCUGACUGCUGUUUUAUUAUGUCUGUCCGGAUGCUUGAGCACAACAGAUGCUACUCGAAGUAAAGCCUCAGCAAAGCCAGGAGAGUGUCCACCCGAAAAACCUGUGGGAGGAUCAUGUGCCAGGUCCUGUACUGGUGACUCUGACUGUCCAGAC